GCCCACUGAAUUUUUUAAAGGGCCGCGGUAUACUGACCGUGCGAAGGUAGCAUAAUCAUUAGUCUUUUAAUUGAAGGCUUGUAUGAAUGGUUGGACAAAAAGUAAUCUGUCUCAGUUAUAAUAGUUGAACUUAACUUUUAAGUGAAAAGGCUUAAAUACUUUAAGGGGACGAUAAGACCCUAUAAAACUUAACAAUAAUUUGAUUAAAUUAUAAAUUUUAGUAUAACUUGAUUUUAAUUAAUGUUUGUUGCGUUGGGGCGACGGGAAUAUAAUUAGUAACUGUUCUUAAAUAUUUUAUUAACAAGUAUAAUUGAAGAAUAAUUGAUCCUUUAUUAAAGAUUAAAAGAUUAAGUUACUUUAGGGAUAACAGCGUAAUCUUCUUUGAGAGUCCUCAUCGACAGAAGG
rnacentral:rRNA from 1 species